GAGUUGGUGGCAGCUUGGAUCGCAGGCGUUGGUGGCUGGAAUCGGCCCGACUUCUCUCUCUUUCUCUCUUCUUUUUCCUUCCCUUUCUUCUCUCUCUUUCUCUUCCUCCCUGCCGCCUGCUGCUGUGGCUGCCGCCGCCUGACGUCGUCCAGAGGUGGGGGAGUGCUACCAGCGCUGGUGCUGGCCGGCCGGCUGGAAAACGAGAGGGAGAAG
rnacentral:misc_RNA from 1 species